CAAGGAUAAGUGGAGAGAGGAGCUCGGCUGUGCCCAGGCAAGAGCCAGAGGCCCGGGAGGAGGCACCCGCUCCCCAUUUCAGGGAUUCCAGAGGCAUCAGCCGAAUCAGGCUCCUGAAAAUCAGACGUGUACACUGGAACUGUUCUCUGUACUUGAUUUGCAUCUGACCCUACAAGAAAGAAGGGGAAGAGAAUCUCCACCAGACUGCAAGCACAGAGUAGCCAGAAUAUAACAACUGGAGUACCAAAGGUGGAGCUAUGUAUGGCACAAGAACAAAGAUUUUGCAACUGUGAUGUUGGAAUUCAGUGCAAUUGUUUGAUUUAUCGGCUAACUCUCACCCUGCUGGAACUCUAGCACUGGCCAUGUGGCUCCUGUCCUUCUACAGGGGUGUUCACCUUCCCGAGUGUGGACUCUGACACUGCACCUAACUAUCCUCCAACCCCUGCAGUAGGUUGAUCAUUUAAUGGGCUGCUGAAUUUCCAACAUGGGCUGUCUCUUCACGGCUGUCUUCUCCCAGCUCAGGCUCCUCAUACCGCUGACACUGACUGCUCCCCUAGCCACAUCCUAUUGCAUGAGGAGUUAAAACAUUCCUCAGAG
rnacentral:lncRNA from 1 species